UACAGAGGUCCCAAGCGUUGUUCGGAUUCACUGGGCGUAAAGGGUGCGUAGGUGGUCAGGUAAGUCGGAUGUGAAAUCUCCGAGCUCAACUCGGAAACUGCAUUGGAAACUACCUGGCUCGAGGGUUGGAGGGGGGACUGGAAUGCUUGGUGUAGCAGUGAAAUGCGUAGAUAUCAAGUGGAACACCAGUGGCGAAGGCGAAUCCCUGGAAAAUACCUGACACUGAGGCACGAAAGCUAGGGGAGCAAACAGG
rnacentral:rRNA from 1 species